rnacentral:rRNA from 1 species
UUUAAUUGGAGAGUUUGAUUCUGGCUCAGAACGAACGCUGGCGGCGGGUUUCAGACAUGCAAGUCGGACGAGAAAGUUCCUUCGGGAACGAGUAAAGUGGCGAACGGGUGAGUAACACGUGGGUAACCUACCCUCGAGUGGGGGAUAACUUUCCGAAAGGAAGGCUAAUACCGCAUGCGUCGGCUGGGGCUGCGGCUCCGGUCGGGAAAGCGGCCCUCUGCCUGCACGGUCGCGCUCGAGGAUGAGCCCGCGUCCCAUUAGCUUGUUGGUGGGGUAACGGCCUACCAAGGCUGAGAUGGGUAGCUGGUCUGAGAGGACGGCCAGCCACACUGGGACUGAGACACGGCCCAGACUCCUACGGGAGGCAGCAGUCCGGAAUCUUGCGCAAUGGGGGCAACCCUGACGCAGCCACGCCGUGUGAGGGAUGAAGGCCUUCGGGUCGUAAACCUCUGUCAGGAGGGAAGAGAUGGCGGCCGGCUAAUAUCCGGUUGCCUCGACGGUACCUCCAGAGGAAGCAUCGGCUAACUACGUGCCAGCAGCCGCGGUAAGACGUAGGAUGCAAGCGUUGUUCGGAAUUAUUGGGCGUAAAGGGCGUGUAGGCGGUCCGUUAAGUUCCGUGUGAAAUCCCUCGGCUCAACCGGGGAACGUCGCGGAAAACUGGCGGACUUGAGUCCGGGAGAGGAAGGUGGAAUUCCCAGUGGAGCGGUGAAAUGCGUAGAGAUUGGGAGGAACACCGGUGGCGAAGGCGGCCUUCUGGACCGAGACUGACGCUGAAACGCGAAAGUGUGGGGAGCAAACAGGAUUAGAUACCCUGGUAGUCCACACUGUAAACGGUGGGUGCUAGGUGUCGGGGGUAUUGACCCCUCCGGUGCCGCAGCUAACGCAUUAAGCACCCCGCCUGGGAAGUACGAUCGCAAGAUUAAAACUCAAAGAAAUUGACGGGGGCCCGCACAAGCGGUGGAGUAUGUGGUUCAAUUCGAUGCAACGCGAAGAACCUUACCUGGGCUUGACAUCCCGCGAAUCUUGGGGAAACCCGGGAGUGCCUUUCGGGGAGCGCGGAGACAGGUGCUGCAUGGCUGUCGUCAGCUCGUGUCGUGAGAUGUUGGGUUAAGUCCCGCAACGAGCGCAACCCUUGCCUCUAGUUACCAGCGGGAAAGCCGGGGACUCUAGAGGGACUGCCGGUGUGAAACCGGAGGAAGGUGAGGAUGACGUCAAGUCCUCAUGGCCUUUAUGCCCAGGGCUACACACGUACUACAAUGGCCGGCACAGCGGGUCGCAACCGCGCGAGCGGGAGCUAAUCCUAAAAACCGGUCUCAGUUCAGAUUGGAGUCUGCAACUCGACUCCAUGAAGUUGGAAUCGCUAGUAAUCGCGGAUC